CUCUGUGACUCCUACGGGAGGCAGCAGUGGGGAAUAUUGCACAAUGGGCGCAAGCCUGAUGCAGCAACGCCGUGUGAGUGAAGAAGGUUUUCGGAUCGUAAAACUCUGUCCUAAGGGAAGAAACAAAUGACGGUACCUUAGGAGGAAGCCCCGGCUAACUACGUGCCAGCAGCCGCGGUAAUACGUAGGGGGCAAGCGUUAUCCGGAAUCACUGGGCGUAAAGGGUGCGUAGGCGGCUUAGCAAGCCAGGGGUGAAAGGCAUUGGCUCAACCAAUGUAAGCCUUUGGAACUGUUAAGCUUGAGUGCAGGAGAGGUAAGUGGAAUUCCUAGUGUAGAGGUGAAAUUCGUAGAUAUUAGGAGGAACACCAGUGGCGAAGGCGACUUACUGGACUGUAACUGACGCUGAUGCACGAAAGCGUGGGUAGCGAACAGGAUUAGAUACCCCUCGGUAG
rnacentral:rRNA from 1 species